CUGAACCCCUUAAUCACCCAAGUUAUUGCCCUCCUAUCUGACCUGAGUGAACUAGGCUAUUCCUAGAGACCUUUAUUAGUCAGUGAAGGAAAUGAAGGGAGCCAAGUCAGGUGUGAAAAUAUCCCCAAU
ensembl:miRNA Mir6238 microRNA 6238